rnacentral:rRNA from 1 species
GUAGUUAGCCGGGGCUUCCUCACAGGUUACCGUCACUUCCUUCGUCUCCUGCGACAGAGGUUUACAAUCCGAAAACCUUCUUCCCUCACGCGGCGUUGCUGGGUCAGGCUUUCGCCCAUUGCCCAAUAUUCCCCACUGCUGCCUCCCGUAGGAGUCUGGACCGUGUCUCAGUUCCAGUGUGGCCGUUCAGCCUCUCAGCUCGGCUACCCAUCGUUGGCAUGGUGGGCCGUUACCUCACCAUCUACCUAAUGGGACGCGAACCCCUCCCUGAUCGGAUCUCUCCUUUCACCUCAGAACCAUGCGGCUCCGUGGUCCCAUGCGGUAUUAGCACUUGUUUCCAGGUGUUAUCCCCCAUUCAGGGUCAGGUUGUUCACGCGUUACUCACCCGUUCGCCACUAGAAUAUCUACCUAAAGCCAAAUAUCCCCGUUCGACUUGCAUGUGUUAGGCAUGCCGCCAGCGUUCGUCCUGAGCCACGGAUCAAACUACUGA